rnacentral:rRNA from 1 species
UGGGGAAUCUUGCACAAUGGGCGAAAGCCUGAUGCAGCGACGCCGCGUGCGGGAUGAAGGCCUUCGGGUUGUAAACCGCUUUCAGCAGGGACGAGGCCGCAAGGUGACGGUACCAUAGGAGGAAGCCCCGGCUAACUACGUGCCAGCAGCCGCGGUAAUACGUAGGGGGCGAGCGUUGUCCGGAAUUACUGGGCGUAAAGGGUUCGCAGGCGGCAUGGCAAGUCCGAUGUAAAAGGCGAAGGCUCAACCUUCGUAAGCAUCGGAAACUGUCAAGCUUGAGUGAAGGAGAGGCAAGUGGAAUUCCUAGUGUAGCGGUGGAAUGCGUAGAUAUUAGGAGGAAUACCGGUGGCGAAGGCGACUUGCUGGACUUCAACUGACGCUGAGGAACGAAAGCGUGGGUAGCAAACAGG